AGAUUAUGGGCCUGAUCUAAAGCCCGCUGAAGUCAAUGGGAGUCUUUCCAAUGACUUCAAUGUGCUUUGGAUCAGGCCCUAAGUCA
rnacentral:pre_miRNA from 1 species